GAUGAACGCUGGCGGCGUGCCUAAUACAUGCAAGUCGAGCGAACAGAUAAGGAGCUUGCUCCUUUGACGUUAGCGGCGGACGGGUGAGUAACACGUGGGUAACCUACCUAUAAGACUGGGAUAACUUCGGGAAACCGGAGCUAAUACCGGAUAACAUUUGGAACCGCAUGGUUCUAAAGUGAAAGAUGGUUUUGCUAUCACUUAUAGAUGGACCCGCGCCGUAUUAGCUAGUUGGUAAGGUAACGGCUUACCAAGGCAACGAUACGUAGCCGACCUGAGAGGGUGAUCGGCCACACUGGAACUGAGACACGGUCCAGACUACUACGGGAGGCAGCAGUAGGGAAUCUUCCGCAAUGGGCGAAAGCCUGACGGAGCAACGCCGCGUGAGUGAUGAAGGGUUUCGGCUCGUAAAACUCUGUUAUUAGGGAAGAACAAAUGUGUAAGUAACUGUGCACGUCUUGACGGUACCUAAUCAGAAAGCCACGGCUAACUACGUG
rnacentral:rRNA from 1 species